GCCCCCCCCCCAAAUCCAUUAUAUGGAUAAGAACCCUGGAAAGCUUUCCUCAAAUGCCUCAAUUUGUUUUCAACAGAAGAAAUAAACACACAGACGGCUUGUAUGACAUGUGGAACACAAAGAACAGACUUGUGCUCUCGUGGAGACUGGUCUUCUGAGGCAGCCUCGGGAGAACGAACUUGGAUGGACGUGCCGCAGUGACUUCUGGGACUCCAAGCGGAUUCCGUACGCACGCAAGGCUGCAUUGGCUGCAUCCUUGAUAUCGAGAACACAUCCGGAUUCUGACAGCUAUGAACUCAAAUGAAAUGUGACCGUGCAGACAAGAUCAAACCUCUCCUCUCUUCUCCUCUCAUUGUUCAUCUCCUCUCUGGAUUUAAUUGGAUGAGCAGAAUGAAGUCGGAGCUGAAUGUGAGGUUCAGUGGAUUGUGAAGGACCUGAAAAACCAGCAGCUCUUACUUUUGAGGAGGAUUUUAGACUUGAAUGUAGAAGCAGAAGGUCAUAUUCAUCCUCCAGAGUGUCCCAAUGACCACCCCUCUUUUUUAAAUCCAGCAUUAUGUGCCAUUAUUGUCAUAAUUUUUAUUGUAUUAAAGGAAUAGUUCACCCCAAAAUGAAAAUUCUUUCAUCAUUUACUCAGCCUCAUGUGAUUCCAAACCUGCAUGACUUUCUUCCGCAGAAUAGAAAAGAAGAUAUUUUGAAGAAUGUGGAUAACCAAACAACACUGAACCCAAUUGACCUCCAUUGUAUGAACACAAAACCACUGAGGCUGGUUUUGUGUUCACCGCAUUACCUUACAAUGUCUUUGGCUAUCUGUGAACAUUAAAGUGUCAUAUGGCGCGAAUACAUGUUUUUCUGUGUCUUUGGUGUGUUAUAAGUUGCCCGUGCAUGUAUUAGACACAUAAAAUUGCAAACAUUAAAGUGCCAGAACAAAAGAUGCAUUCUAUCUAAAAGCGAAUGCUCACCCAGACCUGCCUGAAACGCCUCGUGUAACCACACCCCCACUAAUCUACAUCAUUUAGUGGUAUGACUUGACAAAGACCGCCCAAAUGUCUACUCAAGUAAGGUGGGCGUACUUGUAAAUCUCAUUGUAUCGUCGCCGCCGCAGCCAUGUCGUGGAGACGCUGUGUUUUUCAUUGCGAACAGAAAGCCUCUUUGUUUGCCCUUCCAAAAGAUGAGACAACUAAAAACGAAUGGUUAAAUUUUAUUUACAAUACUGUAACAGUACAAUCCGAAUAUUCAAGUGUGUGCAGCGCAUUUCACAGAUGAUUGCUUCAUGAACCUGGGAGAGAUCAAGGCCGGCUGUGCACAAAAGCUUUUAUUAAAAAGUAGUGCAAUUCCAACCAUUACAACUUCGCAAGGACAGUCUGGCGCUUCAGAUUAUUUUUUCUUAUUAUAUUUUGAUUGUAAAAGACUUUGUUACGGACUAACGCGAGUUGAGUUUGUUGUGUGUUUGUAGCGCAUGUUGUUUCUUUGUGUGAUCUGCAAAUGCAGAAACGCGCGCAACGUGAAAAAAGACAACUAAGUCAUAAUAAUCAGUAAUUAUGUUCCAACUAGAGGCAAUAAUAUAAUAUGUUAUGUUAUAAUGUUUAUAAUGGGGUUUAUUGUCUUUGUUGAGUCACAACGAUAUGGCGUAACACUGGUUGAUCACUAACGGCAAAUCUUUAUAACGUCUUAUAUAAAAGGUAAAACAGUUAGCUAUAGGUUUUAACUAUUGAACAUAAUAUAUUUUAAAAAAAAACUUACCAAUCCUUUACAUCCUGCUCAAGACGCGCUGGCAAAGUUGAUGUAUCGGCAUGAUCAUCUUCAUUUUCCGGAUCAGAUUCGGGCUCGAAUUAAUAAGGAAAGUGCCGAUGACAUUUUAUCGCCUGUCAGUACAAUUGCUUGGGAACAUGAAUACGAUCGAGGCGUUAAAUUUCUGUCACACGCCUGCAGUAUUCGACCAAUCACUACGCAUUGGUUAACUGGCCAAUCAUAGCACACCUCGCUUUUCAGAGCGACAAGCUUUGUAAAAAAUCUGCGUGUUUCAUAGGCGGGGCAAAGAGGAGAUACAAACAUGCACGGUAUGUGGAAAAUACAGCGUUUUAAACCUUAAAUAGUGUAUACACAUUGCAUUACAUCUAAAACAAACAUAUCACCCCUUUAAACCCCUUUAAAUGGCGUUGGUGACAUCAUAUGAACAGAAAUGUUGUUUAUCUUGGGUAUAACGAAUUGUGCACAAUAAGACCUGAAAUGUGUUUCAAAAAGGAUCCGUUUUGGUUUGGUGUUAUCAGAAUAAGUGUAGAACAGGGUGAGGUGUUUAACAAGAUGUCCGAGGAGAUGAAAGUAAAGAGAGAGACGGAAAGAGAGAGAGAGUUUGCGUUGCUUUUUCCAGUCGUUUAAGUCAGGGUAUAAUGGGACAUUUGGAGAGAGCUGAAAAUAGAGAGCAAUUGCUACAGCCAGUCAAACCACUGGCCACAGCUGUCCUUCACACACGCAUACACACACGCUGCUGUUUUACACACAAUAAAACAACACAGACACACACACACACACACUAACACAAUCAUGCACAGACACACACCUUUUUAUGUUGCUGUUCCUCACACAAAACAUGCAGACAAUAAAACAGCAACAACACACACACAGCUCUGUAAAUCAAAUUUAUGAGGUCAGAUUUUCAUGCUGUGUCCAUCGACACACACCUGUACACAUCUGACAGUAAAACGUGACAUGACAGAAAAACCCACUGACACAAGACUGACAGCUACAGACUUUUACCCUCAAUUAUCUCUCUCUCUCUCUCACACACACACACGCACGCACGCACGCACGCACGCACGCACGCACGCACACACACACACACACGCAAGUUGUUAAGUUUGCCUGAGAGAUUACCAGAGGCUACUGGCAAUCAUAAGACUGCUCUGAAACACAUACACACGUACACACACACGCACACACGCACACACACACACACACACACACACGCACACGCACACGCACACACACACACAGUAAGUGUGACCCACAGGGUUUUUUCACACUGAAAUGUUCCUGUUGUUAUUUUCACUGACAGGUCAGGAAACAGGACACACAUAAUCGUAAACAUUUUUCAAAUGAUGUGUUCCUCAUUAUCAGAUUCUGUCAACACAGCCCUGAAUUACAGAAACAAAACUGAUGUCUACACAACCUCAACACAGCAUCUCUUCUGAGCACAGUAAAUCUGUCUUUCUGCCGCGUACGAUACAGUGUAACACUGUGUUUAGUCCGGACGCGAUGCAAUGCGAAGCGACACGACAAAAGACAAUAGAACCCUUUAGAACCCAUUAUAAUUUUUACAUUUUGUUCACACUGGAUGUGGCACAGUGCGACAUGACAAUGUCAAUGUCAAUCAAUGUCAAUCGCUGGCGGUUUAUAUGUGAAAUGAGGACAUGACAGCAGCUGAUGAUGAGGCCAAAACCAGUAUGUCCAGUUCAGACUUUUUAAUUUGACUUAACAUUAUUUUAUUUAUCCGUUAUAUUGAAGAAACCUUUUGAAAGAGUUUGGUUUAUUAUGAGCACUUGAGCUUAAAUGAGACUUGAGUGUUUGUAAUAGACGUAGGUUAUGGUGUAGACCAUGAUUUGUUGCAAUUUUUAGGUGUUCAGUCUUAUUUUGAUUUAAGAAAAUAAAUGUGAUUGCUCUCCUCAUGAAUCAACUGUUUCUUGUUUUUCACGACAUGUCUCUUAAGUGUUGAAGACUAGUGCUGCUUUGAGCCUACAUUGCUAUUAGAUUAUUAAUGAUAAUCUUAAACUAUAAUUUAUUUUAUUAUUAAGUUUAUUUAUUUUAUUUAGCCUUGUUGUGCAAGCUCUCUGGAGCUUGUGCAGAGGCAGCAGCUUUUGCCAGAGGGGAACUGGAAUCCCCUGGUUGGGCCUGGGUUCUCCUGAGGUUUUUUUUCUCGAUUAGAGUUUUGGGUUCCUCGCCACCGUUUGCAUACUGUUUUUGCACUAUCUGCCUGACCGGGGGGGCUGCUUUAGAAUUUUAAAGUUUUACUUAAUUAAUAUUGCAUAUAGGAAUUUAUAGUCUGUUAUAUUUGACCUGUGCUUCUCUCUCCUUUAUCCUAAAUGUGUGCUCUCACUGAGCGUGUGUGUGUGUGUGUGUGUGUGUGUGUGCGUACUUGUCUGUGUACGUACGUGUGUGUGUGUUGUGUGUGUGUGCGUGCGCAUCCGUGUGUGUGUGUGUGUCUCUAUGUCUAUGUGUGUUAGUACGUGUGCAUAUUGUGUGUGUGGAGUGUUUUGUAUGUGGGUAUGUCUGUCUUCUGUGUUUUCAACCUUUUCUUGUUUUUGCAGGUACAACUUUAAUUAUUUUGCUUAUAGUCAAUAUGUCUCAUGUACAGCUGCUUUGUAACAAUGAAAAUUGUAAAAGCGCUAUAUAAAUAAAGUUGAGUUGAGUUGAGUUGAGUUGAGUACGAGUAAAAUUCUCAAGUACUGUUAAAUUCAGAUACUCUAAGACUUUUACUGAAGUCAUUUUUGAAUUGGUGACUUGUAACUUGUAAUGGAGUAGUUUUCGCUGCAAGGUAUCUGUACUUUUACUUAAGUAUGGUUUUCAGGUACUCUUUACACCUCUGCGGCACGUAGACACUGUGUUGCAGUUCAACUCUAUCCCAAAACACUAUAACAACUAUAAAAUCCGUACAACAUUUGACAAACAUUGUCUCUGUUUGUCAAGUAAAUGCCACUUGACAAAUGACAUCAGUUAAAUCUGAACAUAACUCCAUCUCUCACUCACUCUCUCUCUCUCACACACACACACACACACACACACACACACACACACACACACACACACACACACACACAGCAUUGUUCAAUGCCUUAACACUAGUUACAUAUUCCUAUAAAAAAAAAAAACUUCAAUUUCGAUUUCAUGGGGACUUUAAAACUUUACACAAGACAGGCAAACACAAGCUCAGGUGUGCAAUACGCAUCAAAACAGUUUGUGAUUAGUGAGACACCUGGAGGCAAAAUGAGACAUCACGAUAAUUCCAGAGGUCUCGCUUAAACUCAGUCUCGGUGCGUUCUCAUCCCUGUUUCUCUCUCUCUCUCUCGCUCUCUCUUUCUGACUAAAUCUGAGGUUGGGGGGGUGGUUAGGGUGACAAUUCUGUUGCCAUGGCAACAAGCAGAAGGGUGUUGGAACUAGUUCUGAUUUCGUUCCAUCUCUAGCUCGCGGUGCAACAUGACGGAGCGGAGGAACAGUUCAGUGAGCUACACACACACACACGCUGUCUGUCAUUAAUCAGUUAGCAACGGGUGUGUGUCUGCGGGCUAAACGCUGGAGGCAGAACACGACUAAUGCAUGUCACACGGGUCAUAAAUAUCAGUGUUGUGAGAGUUCAGCGAGACAGGUCCAUUAAAACUGACACACAGACGUCUCUCGCUAUGUGAACGUAUAGUUCAAUUUCUGGAAACGCGCGUGUUGCUUGUGUAACCAAGACAAGACCCGAAGAAGAAGCAGCUAGUUUGAGAAGCAUUAGCACUGAUAGCAGCAACUAAACAGUCACUUUUGUUGCAGAUUUGAGAUGUUUAAUACAGAAGCACAAAUAUUUUACUUAGAUAAUUCAUUCGGAAAUGCAUUUGAGUAAACAUGACUCUAUCGCAGAGUUUUUUGACCUGAGGGAGGGGUUCAAACAGACCAAUCCCAGCGCUUGCGGUCCGCGUUGAGUUGACGCGUUGUUACAUUUUUGGAGAGGUGCGCGUCAGGCUACGGCGUAGGGUACGCGGCUCAGUGUAGACUACGGCAUAGGUCGGACACUCGAGUAUAAACUGAACUUUAGGAAGCAGAUGUUACAACCUGUGAGGAACGCACAUGAAGCACAUGAAACAGUGAACUCUGUGAUUUCUGUGCCACUUAUACCAAAGUUUAGAACAAUGAAACAUCACAAACUUCCCCUUUAAGAAGAAGUGAAUUCAUAAAUGUGUAAGCAAAGGUGUGUAUAUGUGAGUGUGUAUUCUUCAGCAGAUGUCAUGUGUGUGCGUGCGUGUGUGUGUUCAUGUUUGUAUAUCCCGGUGGGGACCUAAACCUGAAUGCACACCAACACAUGGGGACUCGUGUCACUGUGGGGACCAAAAUUGAGGUCCCCGUGGGCAAAAAAGCUAAUAAAUUGUACAGAACAAUAUUUUUUAAAAAUCUAAAAAUGCAAAAAGUAUUCUAUGAUCUUUAGGUUUAGGGGUAGGGUUAGGGAUAGGGGAUAGAAUAUACAGUUUGUACAGUAUAAAAAACAUUACGCCUAUGGACUGUCCCCACGGAGAUAGUAAACCAGACGUGUGUGUGUGUGUGUGUGUGCGUGCGUGCGUGCGUGCGUGCGUGCGUGCGUGCGUGCGUGUGUGUGUGUGUGAAAUGACGGACCAUGAGCUCUGAGAUGUUUUGAUCCACUGCGUUUCAUCUCUGGCUUUAGAUCAAUAGUCUAAUAGAGGGAAAUUCACGCACACGCUUGUAUUUAGGUUUGUAAUUACAAACUGACUUUUACUGCUAAUCUGAACAAACAGGUUUGUAGCGCGUCUCAAACUCUCCUGCCUGCCGUCUUUCAUUCGUCUCAGUGCUGAUCUGCUCGACUCUAUCUGUUAAAUAUUCCUCUCACACUCCCAGCACUGCCAGGAGGAGGAUGAGGAUGAUGAAGAGUUGACAGCUCCUCCGCAUGGAACACAGACCGCUGCACAAACAUCCCGUCCUGCCCAAGAGAAAGACAGACUGGAAACGGAUCAUAACCGCUGUUAAACCUUCACUAAUGGUUGUGAAAUGUGCUCGAUUUUAUUACUGCCUUGUGGUUUAGCCCUAAACAGAGACAAGAGCAGAGACGUGAGGACAGGACUAAAUAGACAUGGAAAGGAGAAGAGAGGAGCAAAAAAGAGAGAAAGAAAGAGUAAAAGAGAAAGAGACUAGAAGAGUAAAAGGAAGAAAGAGGCGAGCAGAGGAGAGUAGAGUUGAGUCAAGGAAGGCGAGGAGAGGCAAGGCAAUGAGAUGAGAAAAACUUUUCAUUUUUCAGAAACAUUUUGUUAGGAUGGCAACCCAUUCAAAUGCAUAUGCCUCAUCUGCUCCUCUAUUUCAGAAACUUCAGGUUCUUACAAUUUAUGAUAUUAAUGUUUAUCAAACAUGCAUUUUCAUUUAUAAGAUAUAUUCAAGUCAAGGAAAUAUUCCUGAACAAUUUAAGAUUUAUUUUAAAGUAAACUCACAGGUUCACAUCAUUUUACUCGUCAAUUUUCAGAUUUUCAUAUUCCUAAAUAUGUUACUUGUAGAGGACAAUACUCUUUUAGAUUUAGGGGAAUUAAAUUAUGGAAUGUUUUAUCCCAUUUGGAUAAAAAAAAAUCUGUCUGGUGCAUAUUGUUUUUGGGGUUUUGGUAUUAAGUGAGUAAAAUGUUUAAAGGGUCAUUUAUGUAUGUUUUGAACAUUCUGGGUGUUUAUUUGUUUGUUUUUGUUUUCUGGUGUACUGUAUAUUGUUUUGGGGUUUUGAUAUAAUUAUAUUAUGUAAUUAGGCUUAAUUUUAUCUUAAUUUUGUUUACUUAGGUGGAGGUUUUAGAUAAGCCCUUUGGGAUUUUUUUUGCCUCUCCCUCCUCGAAAUCGGGCUAGAGAAGUUUUUACCAAAAAAAGAGUUAAGAGGACAGUAGAGUAGAGGAGACGUGAUGAGAUGAGAAGCGAGGAGGAGUGAAGAGAAGCAAGGAGAGGCAAGGAGGAGAGAAGAGAAGCGAGGAGAGGUGAGGAGGAGAGAAGAGAGGAGAGUAGAGUAGAGGCAAGGAGGAGAGGCAAGGUGAGUAGAGUAGAGGCGAGGAGGAGAGAAGAGAGGAGAGUAGAGGCGAGGAGGAGAGAAGAGAGGAGAGUAGAGGCGAGGAGGAGAGAAGAGAAGUGAGGAGAGGCGAGGCCAGGAAGAGAGAAAAGAAGCGAGGAGAGUAGAGGAAAGGCAAGGAGGAGAGAGAGGCGAGGCGAGGCGAGACGAGACGAGAUGAGAAGAGAAGCCAGGAAAGGAAAGGAAAGGAAAGGAAUGGAAUAGAAUGGAAUGGAAAGGAAAGGUGAGGAAGAAAGAAGAGAACAGAAAAGAAGAGAAGCCAGGAAAGGAAAGGUGAGGAGGAGAGAAGAGAAGCCAGGGGAGGAGAGAAGAGAAGCCAGGAGAGGAAAGGUGAAGAAAGAGAAGAGAAGAGAAGAGAAGAGAAGAGAAGAGAAGAGAAGAGAAGAGAAGAGAAGAGAAGAGAGGAAAGGUGAGGAGGAAAGGAAAGGUGAGGAGGAGAGAAGAGAAGCCAGGAGAGGAAAGGUGAGGAGGAAAGGAAAGGUGAGGAGGAGAGAAGAGAAGCCAGGAGAGGAAAGGUGAGGAAGAGAGAAGAGAAGCCAGGAAAGGAAAGGAAAGGUGAGGAAGAAAGAAGAGAAGAGAAAAAAAGAGAAUCCAGGAAAGGAAAGGUGAGGAGGAGAGAAGAGAAGCCAGGAGAGGAAAGGUGAGGAAGUGAGAAGAGAAGCGAGAAGAG